rnacentral:rRNA from 1 species
UACAGAGGGGGCAAGCGUUGUUCGGAAUUACUGGGCGUAAAGGGCGCGUAGGCGGCCUGUUAAGUCAGACGUGAAAUCCCCGGGCUCAACCCGGGAACUGCGUCUGAUACUGGCAGGCUUGAAUCCGGGAGAGGGAUGCGGAAUUCCAGGUGUAGCGGUGAAAUGCGUAGAUAUCAGGAGGAACACCGGUGGCGAAGGCGGGUCUCUGGGCCGAUACUGACGCUGAGGAGCGAAAGCGUGGGGAGCGAACAGG